rnacentral:lncRNA from 1 species
CAAAGUUCAAGAAAAAGGGAGAAAACUUCGAGCUUCAUCGAGUUUUGAGAAUUUUUGCUAAGAACUUGAUUCUUUCGAGGUAUGUAAGUUUUCAUAGUAAUGAAUUUAUUUAAACUUACACCAACCAUGAGUAUUAUUAUUGAAUACGUUCAUGAGAUUGUGUAUUUUGAGGUUCUUGAUGAGUUUCUUGAGGUUAUCUGCCUCAUUUUUUAACAAUGGAGUUUUGUUAAUUUCUUAAGGUGAGGGUCUUGCAGUUGAGGGUUAAUUUUUUUAAAUGUAAUUUGAGUGUAUUUUCAAGGAAUUAUGUUGGGUUUAUGAAUUCAAGAGAGUUUGGAAGAAAUCAAUCAAUUUUAGGUAAAUUAAGAUAAAGAAUCGAAAAGAAAAAAAUUAUCAGAUUUUCUGGGUACAUGCUAAGGAGGUGCGCCACUUAGACUAGAAGUAAUGAAUUUGUUAAGUUCAGGGAUUGGCACUCUGCGCCAGGAUGCCUGCCACUGUUCCUCUUCCAUUUGAGUUCUAAUUGAGUUUUUUUAGAUCGAGUCUUCGCUCUCUUUCUAAUUAUAACUAUCCAAAUUUUAUCAAAUCAUCGAGAGAUUCCAUAUAUCCAAAUCGUAACUCUUGAAUUCACAUUUUAAAUUAAAAUAAAAAUUAAGAGUAAAGUUUGAGAAAAUCUUUUGAGUCAUUUUUGAGAAGUCUUUUAUAACUUUUUUUAAGACUUGAGUAAACGAGUACGAGAAUAAGAAAAUCUUUUGAGUGAUUAUCUCAAAUUGAGAAAGAGUUAUGUUUUAAACAUAUAAGCAUGUUAUAUAUAUUAUUCGGAGUGGUAUUGAGCACAUAGUUGGGGAUGAAUUUAAACACUCAAAAUCCUCAUAAACCAUGUAUGUCAACUUGGGUAAAUGAUCAUACUUUGUAGAAGAUUUCUCUUAGCUUUUAAGUAUAACUUAGUGGAUCCACCAGAAAAUCAUAUACUCAAACAAGAUAUAGAACAGUUCUGGAAGCGUAGGUGAGACGUUGUAUCAUUAUAUUGUUCAUAGUGAUAGUUGUCGAUUAGAGAAUCUCUCAAAAUGGGAGUGACAUUUUCUAUAUUGCAUAUUGCCACUACAAAAGGAAUCUCAAUUACCAACAAAAAAAGUCGUUGGUAAAUUGAUUAAAUCGGUUGGCAAAUUGAGUUAUCAACCAAAUGCCAACUUAUAUUAGUCCGUUGCUAAAAAGCUCGUCGGUAAAUAUUACCAACUAUUUUAAUUUGUUAGUAAAUUUGCCAACCAAAAUCAGUUGGUAAACACCCAAAGAUGUUACAAAAUUUUGAAAUAUGGCCCUGAAAUUUUCGUUGGUAAAUUUUUCAAUUAAUUUUUUGUUAGUAUAUCGUUAGUACCUUUACUAACGAAUUGAAAAAGAGUUAGUAAUUUAUUUUUUUUUCGAUUCAUACAUUGGUAAUUGGUUGAUAAUUUUAGUAACAAAAAAUUUGUGUUGGUAAUUUGCCAAUAAAUUUUAAAUACUUUUUUAGUUUUUUAUUUUGAGUUUCUAUCCGGUGUUCGGUACCCACAUUAGAGCCCUACUAAAUCUGGAUUCACCCCGGAAAGUCCCACAUUGAUUGGUAAAACACUCCCUAACAAAGAUGAUUAUGUGCCCAACGGAAAUCGAACCUAAGACCUCUUGGUUAAAGAUGCAAAAAUACUUACCAAUACACCACAAGCCUUCUUUGUAAUAAAUUUAAAAUACUUUAGUAUGAUUUUUUAUUUUUCUAAUAAAUUUACUAAUUGAUUGUUAGUUUAUUGGUAAUAUGUCAUUCAAGUUCAAUGUUAGUUUAGUAAUUGAUUGACAAUAUGUUCAGAAUAUUAUUAACUGAAUAAUUAUUCAAUUAGUAAAACAUUUAUUAAUUUAUUGCAUUUAAAAAUUUAAGAACAUGAAUAUAAAUCUAAGAAUAUUAAUCAAUUUUAUAAAUCAUAUUUGAAUAAAACAAUGCAAAAUCUAUGAUAACAAUUUAAAUUAAUCUCAAUAUGACACAUAUCAUUAUAUCAAAAAAAUUAAUUUGAGCAAGUUUACAAAAAAUAUUGACUAAGUAUAAAUUUUGGCCAAAAGUUAAAGCGCCUAACAACACAAACUGAAAAUGAAAGUCUCAAAAUCUGAAACAACCAUAUUGUUAGAUAUAAAAAUAACCUUUCAAAGCUAAUUGAACUGACAGAAUUUUCAUCAGAGCAUAUUUAUCGAAAUUCUAAGCAAAAUUAAAUUUUUGUCAAAAGUUAAAAGUGAAAUCGCCUAAUGGUACAAACUGAGUAUAAAAACCUCAAAAUCCAAACCAACCAUCCUAUAAAGCAAAAAAUGACCUUCCAUAGCUAACCACGCUGACGAAAUUCAAAUUUGAGCAUGUUCCCAAAUUUUUUUUGAUCUAAUUCAAAGUUUAGCCAAAAGUUAAAAGUUAAAAACGCUUAACUAUACAAACUGAAAAUAAGUCUCAAAUCCUGAACCAACCAUCCUAUGAGAUCAAAAUUAAACUUAUAUGGCUAACUGCAAUGAGAAAAUCUCAAUUCGAGCACGAUUACCAAAAAUUUUGACUAAAGUGAAAUUUUGGCCAAAACUUAAAAUCUAAAAUGUCUACUGACAUAAACUAAAACGGAAACUUCAAAAUCCAAACCCUCUAUAUUACUACAUCAAAAUGAUUUUUCACAUCUAACUGUCUUAUCUGGGUACGUUAUCAAAUAUAUUGACCAAAGUUAAAUUUUUGCUAAAAUUUAUAUGCUAAACAAUAACGACACACAGUAAAAAUGAAAGCCUUAAAACUCAAACAAACCAUCCUACUAGAUAAAAAAUGACCUUUGGAGUUAUUACACUAACGAAAUACUCAUCUGAGCAUGUUCACAAAAAUAUUGACCAAAGUCAAAUUUUGUCCUAAGCAUAAAAUUUAAAACACAUAACGGUACAAACAAAAAUGAAAGCCUAAAAAUAUGGAUCAACCUUCCCGUUAGAUAAAAAACGAUCUUUCAAAGCUAAUGACACUGACGUUUACCAAAAAUAUUCAACAAAGUCAAGUUUUGGUUAAAAGUUAAAAGUUAAAACACCUAAUGACACAAAUUAAGUAUGAAAGCGUCAACACUAGACGCUCACUUACCAAAAAAAUUAACUUCAAUUGGUACCAACUAUUAAAUAUAAGUUAGUAAUUAUUAAUUUACCAAUAAAUUUUAUCAGAGUUGGUAAUAGUUACUAUUCAACUAAAUAUUCAUAUGUAGUAUUACCAAUUAACGAUUAAUAUUUUGAUAAAUUUUAUCAAUGAAUUAGUGAUCAGUUGGUAUAUUACCAACUAUUUUAAUGAUGUCAGUAAUUUACUAAUUACAAUAUUUAUUCGUCGAUAAAAUUUUCAACUAAUUUGAUAUUGGUUGACCAUUUUACCAACAAAUUACAUUUCAUUACUAAUUUACCAACACAUUUAUAUUUGGUUGGUAAAUUUAGCAACACAAUCUUUUUGUUGGUAAAUGUUAGGUUAGUAAUUCAUUGGUAAUAUGUUAAUAAAUUAUAUAAAUAAUUUUUGUCAUAUUAACAAACCGAUAUAUAUUUCGUUGGUAAUAUUACCAACAAAAGGUGUGCGUUAGUAAUAUUUCUUUUGGUAAUCCAUUGAUAGAAGGUUGCUAAAUUUGAUGCCGUUUUUCCCGCCGUAUUUACCAACUAAAAUACUUAGUUAGUAAGAUUUAUGUUGGUAAUAUGUUAGACUUUCAUUUUUAAGUUUUAAAAUAUUAUUCGGUUAGAAAUAUGUUGGUAAUUUGUUAGUAGAAUACUAACCAACUUAAGUUGUUCAUAAAAUUUGUUGGCAAUUAGAGUUUUUUUGUAGUGUUGGUAUUAUUGCUUUCAUCUUAAGUUGUAUUACUAUUCUUGAGUUGAGUGAGUAUCCUUGAGUUGGGUUGAGUUGAGAUGAGAUAAGUAUGUUUCAUUUUUUAUCCGUUCAACCAUAUGUUUAUGUUUUAGAGUUCUGCUUACAUGCUCGUACAUACAAUUUACUGGCACAAUUUGGACUGCAUCUUUUCAUGAUGCCAUACAGGAAUUCAGGGUCAUCAAUAGGCGCUCCAUUGAUACCACUUGCAAUUCGUAAUUUGCUUUGGUGAGUCUCAUUACUUCCGGAGGGUUCCUAUUUACUUUCAGUCUUAUUACCAUGUCAUAAGUCUUGUCCCAACUUCCAUCAUAGUAGUAGAGGAUUCAUAGACAGUAAUGUUUUGAGGAGUCUUUUCCAUUUCCAUUGGUAAUGUUUAAGACUUGAGUUUCCUUGCAUUGACUAGUUGUUGUUUCCAGACAUUUAAGAAUUUAUAUAUUUUUAAGACAAAUGAGGAAAUAUUUAAUUUUUAGUUUAUAUAUUGCUGAGUAAGUGUUUCGUCAAGUUUUGAGUUAGUUCAAUGAUUUUCUUAGGGACCAAUAAUUAUUUUCGAAUGUCGACCAGUCCCAGGUAUAGGCUCAGUGUAACAUCUCACGACGAGAAAUAACUAGAGUAGAGUUAAAGAUAAGGAAAUACUUAUUUGGGAAAGUAUAAGGAAAACUGGAAAUUUUAGGUAAACUAAAAAGUGAGUUUUUGCCAACUUCAAACGAUCAUAACUCUUAGAUCAAGAUGACUUAGUUGAAUAUAUGGUUGGAAAGAUUGUUCCAAGAUCUUUCCAACAUCGUUGAGUUUUUGCAAUUUCGAGUUCAUAUAACGGAGUUAUGCCCUUUGAAAGUUGGGUUGUUGGAUUAAGAAAAUAUCCAAUUUUGAUAUUUUAAAGGGUAUUUUAGUCUUUUCACUAUCCUAUUAAUUUAAUAAGUUUUUAGGAAUCUAAUAUGGGUCAAAUCAAAACAUAGUCAGUUUUAGAAGUUGGGUUUUUUCACGCUAGGGCUAAGGAGAAUAGAGAAGAGAAAAAAUGAAGAAAAAGGGCAAGAUUCACCAAGAUCGUCGAAUUAACUUUUGGAUUUCGUCGAGGGUGAUUCCUAAAAAAUUAUGUGAGUCUUCCAUAAUGUUAUGUUCGUUCACCCAUGUGUCAAGCAUGUUUGAUUCAGCGUGAAAUAGUUUUAAAAAGAUUGAAUUUUGAAUGUUCUUGAAUGUUGUUCUUGAAUUGAUUUCGUUCUUGAACAUGAGUUGACAUUAAGGAGCUUUCUUGAUGAUUUAGGUGUUGUUUUUUGAACUCAUUGCAUUAGGUCCUUGUAAAUAUGAUGUGGGUACAUAAAUGUAAAGUGAAAGUGACAGAAGAAAUCAAGUUUAAACGAUUUGGGAUUAGAAAAUGAGUUAAAAAAUUCGUCAAGCGUCACAUGGACAGGGCCAGGCGCAGCGCGCCCCAUCUGCACAAAAGGUUUUAUGCCUGGAGCAUACACCCUCGACGUGGACGACACCCAACGAUCAUUGUUGUCCUUGAGUGAACCCUUGGUCUGGAUUACUUAACUCAGCGGAUGACUUAACUCAAAUAUAAAGCUGGAAACAUUCUCAUAAAAAACACUUUUAAUAAUAGUCUCAGUCAAAUGACACUUAAGUCUUGAAAACAAUAUAUGUAUAUCGAAAUUAAAGAGAGACCCAAAUUGAUUGUCUAACUAUCUAUUUGUCUAUGAAGCCUCUACUACUAAGAUGAAUGCUGGGACAAACCCAUCAACAUUCUAUAAGGAAAUACUGAAAGCAACAAAGGGUCUUCUGGAAGCAAAGAGGCCACUAACUCUGGUUACUCAAACUGGAUCAACAACGCGUAAGAUGCUAAUUCUGGUUACCUGCGUCUGCAUCAUGAAACGACACCGGGCAAUUGGCAUCAAUACAUUGAAUGUACGAUUAUGCGAGUUUGAAUGCUAAACAACAACUAUUAAGCUUGAAAAAAGUAAGAAUGAACUUAUCUUGACUUUGUUCAACAUAAGAAGUCAUAACUCAAUAUAAGGCAGUAAAACACAUGCAAUAUACAUAUAUAAAUCUUGUAAAAAAAUAUAAACAUUUAGUUCAUUAAAAAUAAUGUAAUAAUAAACUCAAUUUUACUUAUAUACGAAAGUAAUAUAAUUUCUAUUGGAGAUUCUCUAACUGACAACCAUCACUAUGAGCCCAAGCGAUGGUACAACAUCUUACCUCACGUUACAAGAGGACCGAUCUAUACCUUACUGUUGGUAUAAAACUUAAACUAAUAAGCGGAUCCACUAGUCUAUGAUAGAAAAACACUAAGGAAUCAUAUAAAAAGUAUGACCUUUUAUCUGUCCAGGCCGGCUACACGAUUAUGGAGAAUUUGGUUGAUAUGAACUCGCAUACCCAUAUCGGUGCUCAGUACUACUCCCAAAAUACUUAGCUCAUAUGUUUCUAAUACAAAUUUUUCUUUGGUUUGAGGUAAUUGCUCAAACUUAGCUUUAAAAGCUCUCUUGAAAAUCAUAGUUCUCAUUUUGUAAAACUAGCCAAAGGCUUUUUCGAAGUCUAUCUUCCUUUAUUUCUCAAAAUUUGAAAACAAUUGUACCUCUUAGAGACUACUUAGUUCCCUUAUAGAUUUUGAGAAAUGAACUUACUAUUUGCUCUUUGCGUUACUUGAAACUUAACUAUAGUGAAUACUUAGUUCCCUUAUAAUUUUUGAGAUUUAGACUCAACUCUUUACUCUUUGAUCACUUGUAGCUUGAGCCUUACAACGAAGAAAAAAAUGUUUGUUUAAUACUCUUGAAAACUUUAAGAACUCUCUUUUACUUGCUUCUCUACUUUUAGAGUUGACACUUAACUUCUUUGACUUUGAUCUUAACUUUCCUUGAAUUGGAUUAUGGAUUCAAGGACCAUGAUCUCAUGUUUAUGGAUGAUUUCAUGAUGUUCAGAUGUACUUUAGUACAUCACUUAGAAAUCGUACGAAAAGAUAGGGGAAAAAUAGGAUCCCAGGAGACCUUGGCGCCCAGGGCUUGUCAGAAGAGUUUUUCGACUUUUCUGUUCUGAUUUUCAAAUCUAAACCUCCUAAACUUUAAUGAAUUUUCCCCUAAACACUUAGGAUCACUAAUAUCCUUACUAAUAUAUAGUUUAGACUCAUAAAAUAACCUGAAAAUACGAAUCAACACCACUAAAGGUACACUACAACUCUACGAACAAGAUUUCAAUCAAUUCUUCAUCAAGAACUUCAAGAUUCAUCAUUCAAUCAAUACAAAACUUGAUGAAUUAAAUAUAUUGAUGUGUGGGUGAAUGAACCCAACACAAAAAGAUCUCAUAUAACUCGAUAGGGAUCACCCCCGACAAAUUCCACUAGCGAAACCUUCGCGUUGUUGAAGAAUUAUUGAUCUUCUUCUUCUCUUCUCUCUUCUCCCCAAGACCUAAGCGUUCUAAAAUUUUCUAAAACUUAAUUGGGAAUUGGUUUAACCCCUAUAAAACCUUAAAACAAAUUAGGAAAUACUAGGGUGAAAAGACUACUUUACCCAUACUAAAAUCCGGAUUGGACUUUCCUUAAUCCAAUAACCCAACUUCCGAUAGGCAUAUCUCCCUCAUACAAUAUCGGAAUUUCACAAACUCGGCGGCGUUGGAACUAUAUCAUCAAGGGAUUUCCAAACAUAUAGAUAACUAGACCUAACUCAUCCUGUGCUAGAAGUUAUGGUUGUUUGAUCAUGACCAAAAACCUACUUUUACAUUUAUCAAAGUUUUCAAGAUUUCUCCUAUUCUUUCCAAAAAUAACUUUUCUUAGUUUUUUUGUUUACUCCUAGAUAUUUUGGUUUAUGAUAUGUUACAAUAUUUCACCCUUGGGAACAUUUGUAUUUGAAAUGAGAUUUUUUCAAUUAAACUAAGGGUGGUAACGUCAUUUCAACACUUCACCAAUAAAAGCAAGUAAUACAUGCUUACACAUAGUCUUAUAAAGUGCUAAGAAGAGAAUUUAGUACGUUGAUCUGCAUUCUCUACGGAUUCAAAGAGAUGUGGAUAUCUCCUCUUCAUAUCUACCUCAGCUUCCCAAGUUGCUUCUUCAACAAACUGAUUUCUCCAAAGGACUUUGAGCGAUGUCACUUCCUUAGUCCUCAACCUGCGAACUUGACAAUCCAAAAUUUGAACCUGAAUAUUUUCAUAGGAUAAUCUAUCCUUAAUCCAACAUUCUCAACUGGUACAAUCAAUGAAGGGUCACCCAAGCAUUUCAUGGAAUACCGGAUGAAUUGUCUCUAACUCUUGGGGUAGCUCUAACUUAUAUGUUACAUUGAUAACCCUCUUAGAGAUUAUGUAAGGACGAAUGUACCGGGAACUAAUAUUCACCUUCUUACCAAAUCUCAUACCCCCCUUCAUGGAUUAAAUCUUCAAAUAUACCCACUCAUCCACCUCAAACUCUAACGGUCUUCUCUUAACAUCUGUUUAGGACAUUUGACGACUCUGUGCCUUUCUCAAUCUCUCUUGAAUCAAUUUCACCUUCUCCAUAUCUUGGUUAACUAUAUCUAGUCCUAUAAUCAUGCUUCACCAACUUCAAACCACCCAAUAGCCGAUCUGCAUCUUCUCCUAUAAAGAGUCUCAGAUGGAGCCAUUUGGAUGCUCGAAUGGUAACUGUUGUUGUAAGUGAAGUCAAUGAGAUAUAUGUGAUCAUCCCAAUUCCCUUUGAAGUCGAUCAUAUAAGCUCUCAACAUAUAUUCUAAGUUAUAGAUAUUACUCUCUUCUUGCCCAUCUUUCUGAGGGUGAAAAACAGUGCUUAAAUUCAUCGUUGAACCUAAACCUUUUUGGAAAGAUUUCCAGAAUUGUGCAGUAAAUUGUGCACCUCUAUAUGAAAUAAUGGAGACCGAGACUCCAUGAAUUAUUACCACCUCUUGAAGGUACAACUUAGCAUAAUCCUCAGCCAAAUAAGUAGUCUUUAUUGGCAAUACAUGGGCUGACUUUGUCAUUCUAUCGACAAUUAUCUAAGUAGAAUCACGCUCCCUGCGAGAUCUUGGCAGGCCUAUGAUGAAUUCCAUAUUAAUCUUCUCCUACUUCCAUUCCGGAAAUUUUAUAGUCUGAGCCGAAUCUCCAAGCCUUUGGUGCUCUACUUUCACUUAUUGGCAAUUUGGGCGCUUGGCAACGAAUUGAGCAAUAUCUUUUUUCAUGCCUUCCAACCAAUAUACCUCUCUAAAAUCGCUAUACGUCUUGUUGGAACUCGGUGAAUGGAAUAUCUGGAGCUAUGAGCCUCCUCCAAGAUCCUCUCUUGGAGUCUAUCCACCUUAAGUACACACAAUCUACCUUGGUACUUUAGUACACCAUCUCCCCCUUGUUCAAAAGACAAUACCUUUUUCUUUUGAAAUUUCACCUUCAAAUCAAGCAAAAUAGGGUCUUGGUCUUGUUUCUCUUUUACCUCUGACACUAGUGAUGAUUCAGCCCCAUUAGUCACCACUAUUUCUCCUUCUGUGGAAUCCAUAACUCUGACUCCCUGACGUAUAAGUUUGUGCACAUCUUUAGCUAACACCCUCAUUUCUUCUUCAACAUGGGUGGUACUCCCCAUGAAUAACUUGAUUAAGGAAUCAGAAACCAUAUUCGCCUUACCUGGGUGGUAAACAAUACUCAUAUCAUAAUCCUUGAGUAAUUCUAACCACCUCCUUUGAGUGCACACAUAUUGGAGGCUUUUGUGAUCCAUAAUUGUGUCACACAUGAAUACAAGAAGUGACAUUAUAUAUUCAAAGAAAACACUACUGCAGCCAAUUGUAAGUCAUGAGUUGGAUAAUUCUUCUCGUGAACCUUCAACUGUCUGGAGGCAUAAGCUAUAACCUUAUCAUUCCGCAUUAAUACACAACCCAAGAAACCUCUCAAUGCAUUACAGUACACCACAAAACCUUGAGUAACCUUUAGUAAGGUCAAAACCAGAGCGGUAGUCAAUAUUUUUUUCAAUUUGUGAAAACUUUUCUCAUAAGCUUCAGACCAUUGAAACUUGGUUGUCUUCUGAGUUAGCUUGGUCAAAAGAGACGAUAUAGAGGAGAAACCUUCUACAAACCUCCUAUAAUAGCCAUCCAAACCCAAGAAACUCCUUAUAUCUAUUAGAGAUGUGGGUGUAGGUCAACUCUGAACUGUUUCCAUCUUUUGGGUAUCAACUCUAAUCCCAUAACCGGAAACAAUGUGGCCCAAGAAUUCCAAGUACUUAAGCUAAAACUCACACUUGGAAAACUUUACAUAUAGCUCCUUAUCUUUCAAAAUCUGCAGAACAAUCCUGAGGUGACUAGCGUGAUAUUUUGCAUUCCUUGAAUAAAUUAGUAUAUCAUUAAUGAAGAUAUUACAAACAAAUCUGAAUAGGGUUUCAAGACUCUGUUCAUAAAAUCCAUGAACAUUGCUGGUGCAUUUGUCAAACCAAAGGACAUAACUAAAAAAUCAUAAUGCCCAUAUCUGGUUCAAAAGUUGUCUUUGGAAUGUCACAUUCCCUAACUUUCAGUUGAUUGUAGCCUGAUCUUAGGUCAAUUUUUGAGAAGCAAGAAGCACCCUAAAGCUGGUCGAAAAGAUCAUCCAUCCUUGGAAGAGGAUAUUUAUUCUUGAUGGUCACCUGAUUCAAUUGGAGGUAGUCUAUACACAUCUUAAGGGAACCUUUAUCUAAAAGAUCUUUCAAUUGUUCUUUUAGCUCCUUUACUUUGCUGGGGACAUUCUAUAUGGCGGAAUAGAGAUAGGAUGAGUAUAUGGGAUGAUGUCUAUGCCAAAGUCUAUUUCUGUUUCAGGAGGGACUCUGGGUAGAUUAUCAAGAAAGACUUAUGGAAACUCUUUCCCUAUAGAAACUGACUGAAGGGAAGGUACCUCAUCACUUGAGUCAUUAACUCGGACUAAGUGAUAAAUACACCCCUUUGAAACUAAUUUUCUCGCCUUAAGGUACGAAAUGAAACGACCCUUAGGCACUACUGAGCUACUAGUCCACUCUAUGACUGAUUCAUUAGGAAUCUGAAACUUGAAAACUCAAAUUCUACAAUCUAUUGAUGCAUAACUGGCAUGAAGUUAGUCCAUACCUAGAAUGACAGUAAAAUCUACCGUAUCUAACUCUACUAGAUCAGCUAUGGUGUUCUUGUGAUUGAUGGAAAUUGAACAAUCAUGAUAGAAUCUUUCAGCUAAAAUAGACUCUCAAACAAGUGUAGAAACACAAAAAGUUUCACAAUGUUUUUCAGGAAGAAUCUCAAAUUGAUUUGCAACAUAAGGAGUUACAAAAGAUAAACUUGCUCCUGGGUCUAAUAAAAUAUAAACAUCAAAAGUAAAGACUUUUAUCAUACCCGUGACAACUUAUGGAGAGUUUCUUUCUUUUGGCGGCUAGUGAUUGUAUAGAUACUGUUUGCCCCUUCGCUAGUACUAGAAGUGACUCCUCUAGGUGUAGCCCUUUAUGGUGGAGCAACUGAUGAAGAUUGGGCUCUAUUGCCUGGAUUUCCACCUCCUUGCUUAUUCUUGGGACACUCUUUCAUGUAGUGUCCCUCUUGACCAUAUUUGAAACAACUCGACUGGCCAUCACGACAUUUAACAGCGUGGUUUUUACCACACCUACCCAAUGAAUGAGCCCAACUACCUCUUUGUACCACACUACCUUGGGACUGGGCUAGUCCAACCUUAAAGUUCUGCAAAUUCUGGCCAUCAUACUCACCUCUGUUUCUGGGAGGCAGGUGCACUAGUUGAUGAUGGUGCAUGCCUCUUUUGUUUAUGAAAUUGUGGUCGGCUUGAACCACUCACCUCUUGUUCCUACACUCCUUUCUAUCCCUUAGCUUCUUUUCUUCAACCUGUUGCACAUAGACCAUUAACCUUGAAAUUUUCAUGUUCCUAAGUAACAUUGCAUCCCUACAUUUUUUGUUUGAAGCACAACCCAAGACAGCAACAAACAAGCUCAUUUUGUUCCUCAUAUUCUUAACCAUCUCAGGAGCAUAGCGAAACAGUUGGGUGAAUUUUAACCAUAUUCAUGAACACUCAAGGAGUCGUGUUUCAGAGUAAGGAACUCCAGUACCUUUUCUUCCUUCAGUUCCCGGGGAAAGAAAUGCCCUAAGAAGGCUUCUUCAAAGCAAGCCUAACUUGGACGUGGUGCAUCUCUGUUUUUGUGCUCCUUCCACUAAUCAAACCAAGUCCUCGCCACAUUCUUUAGUUGAUAUGCGGCCAGUUCAACUCUCUCAGCAUCUACCAGAUGCACUACAUCGAAGAACUUCUUGAAUUCUCCCACAAAAUUUUCUGGAUCCUCGGUAGUGAUUGAACCAGAAAAACUUGGGGGAUUCAUUCUCAAGAAUUCCCAAAUUCUCAAACUUUAAGCCUCUUAUUGUCGAGCUCCUCUUUGUUUCCCAACUUAGCUGGUCACAACUUUACUCAAAAUAUGGAUAGCCUCACAAAAUUCAAUAUCAUGACUUCUCCUUGAGGUUACACAUUUGGUGCAUUAGGUACCUCUGGUUCUUCAACAUUACUUCUAGCUGGUCUGCCUUUGAAAGCUUUUUGUGGAGGCAUGAUGAUCUGAAACAGGCGCAAGCAUGAAUUGGAGGGAAACUUUUAGAGAUAAACUCUAACGCACGAAAUGAGUAUGAAAGAAGUGAGAAUUUCCUAAAUGUUGUAGCUUCCUAAUCAUAGAUAUGACGUGCUUCACAUCGAUGACUAAGACUCUAUAGACACGGCUUCAUAGACUUUCUAGGAUUCAUAAAAUUUGUGCUCUAAUACUAAGUUUGUCAUGCUCGGAGCCUGCACCUGAACGUGGGCGGCACCCAAUGACCAUUGCUGGCCUUGAGUGAACCCUUGUCCUGCUUACUUAACUCAGCGAAAGACUCAAAUAUAAAGCUGGAAACAUUGUCAUAAUAAACACUUUAAAUAAUAGUCUCAGCCAUAUGACACUUAAGUCUCAAAAACAAUAUAUGUAUAUAUGAAAUGAAAGAGAGACCCAAACUGAGUGUCUGACUAUCUAUUUGUCUAUGAAAUCUCUACUACUACUAAGAUGAAUAUUGGGACAAACCCCUCAACAUUCUGUAAGGAAAUACUAAAAGCAAUAAAGGGCCCUCCAGAAGAAAUAAGGCUCAUCACUAACUCUUGAUUCUCAAACUUGAUUAACGAGUCGCUGAAUGUUGAUCCUCGUUACCUGCAUUUGCAUCAUGAUAUGAUUCUGGCCAAUUGACAUCAGAACAUUGAAUAUAGAAGUAUACGAGGUGGAAUGCUAACAACAACUAGUAAAGUGUUUUGACACCUCCUAAUGAUUCUAACUACUCUAAAUGACUUCUAAACAUAUAUAAAUGAUCCAAAAAUAUGAAUUUCAACCUUAAAUUCAUAACUUUAAAUUCAAGGAUAGUUAAGACCUAAGUCUAGAAAGUUCUUAGAGUCUUUUCAAGAAGUAUUUUGCAAAUGCUUUUGACUUUGUUUUAAGACUUAAAGAUCAAGUUGAGUAAAGAGUAAAUAUAAGGAGAAGAAGUUCAUUUCAAGUUUCGUAAGUCUUUUACAAAUGUUUUAAUUUUGUUUUAAGACUUAAGUUUGAGUUCAGUUUAGAGUAAAGUGAAGUCUUUCCUUCAAAGAAGUAUAUGGAGACUAAGUAUUCCCAAAGAAGUAUAAACAUUCUUUUCACAUUUAAACAAGAAAGAAAUUUGAGAUUUUCAAAAGAGUCAUUUAGCUAGUUUUUUAGUAAAGAGGAAACUAUGAUUUCCGAGAGAGCUUUUUAAGCUAAGUUUGAGCAAUUAUCUCAAACCAGAGAAAAAAUUAUUUUAAAAACCUAUGAGUUAAGUAUAUUUUGGGAGUAGUAUUGAGCACUGAUAUGGGGAUGCAAAUUCAUAUUAACUCAAACCCUCAAAAACCAUGUAGUCAUCAUGGGAAGAGAAAAAAUCAUACUUUUUAGAUGAUUCCUUAGUGUUUUUAGCGUAGACUAGUGGAUCCACUUUGUGAGUUCCGGUUCUAUACCGAUGACAAGGUAUAGAAUGGUCCUUGGCAAUGUGAGGUAAAGCGUUGUACCAUCACCUAUGCUCAUAGUAAUGGUUGUCAACUAGAGAAUCUCUCACAAAAGUUAUUGUAUUUUAAUAUACAUCAGUUAUUGUAUUUUACAUACAUUCAGAGUUAUGUUGUAUUCUUUUUAUAUACACAGAGUUGACGUCAUAUAUUUAAAAAAGUCUUUUCUUUAUAUUGCAUCUACUUUAAACUACUUUAUAAUGAAAUAAGUUUAGUUCAGUGUUAAUGAGAUGAGAAGAGUCAAGUAACUGUUAUUUCAGAACCUCUAUUAAGCCUAUGUUUGUUAACAUUCAAACUCGCAUACUCAUACAUUCAAUGUACUGAUGAUGCCAGUUGGCCUACAUUGUCUUAUGAUGUAGAUGCGGGUAACCAGGAUCAAUAUCGAGCGCCUCGUUAAUCCAGGUUGAGCACUCAGAGUUUGUU